rnacentral:rRNA from 1 species
GAUGAACGCUGGCGGCGUGCCUAAUACAUGCAAGUCGAGCGAACAGACGAGGAGCUUGCUCCUCUGACGUUAGCGGCGGACGGGUGAGUAACACGUGGAUAACCUACCUAUAAGACUGGGAUAACUUCGGGAAACCGGAGCUAAUACCGGAUAAUAUAUUGAACCGCAUGGUUCAAUAGUGAAAGACGGUUUUGCUGUCACUUAUAGAUGGAUCCGCGCCGCAUUAGCUAGUUGGUAAGGUAACGGCUUACCAAGGCAACGAUGCGUAGCCGACCUGAGAGGGUGAUAGGCCACCCUGGAACUGAGACACGGUCCAGACUCCUACGGGAGGCAGCAGUAGGGAAUCUUCCGCAAUGGGCGAAAGCUUGACGGAGCAACGCCGCGUGAGUGAUGAAGGUCUUCGGAUCGUAAAACUCUGUUAUUAGGGAAGAACAAAUGUGUAAGUAACUAUGCACGUCUUGACGGUACCUAAUCAGAAAGCCACGGCUAACUACGUG